rnacentral:lncRNA from 1 species
GGAGAGCCCACGUGGGCUUAGGAGACUGUCAGAUCUGUUUCCUAACUUGGCCUCUACCACUUUUCCAGCUGGGGACCUUAGGCCAGGGGCCUUGGGCUAUUCACCUGUAAAAUGGGGACAGUGAUACCAGCCUCACUGGAGGAUAUGCUAUAGCACGACAAAAAGUCCCAUUGUCCUAAGGCAGCUAGACACACACAGGGGUCGCUGGGGCAGGAAUGGGGGUAAGGGGUCUUUCCAUUCCUGACUUGGCAAGCUGAAUAAUGAUGGUAACAAGAAACAAUGCAAGGCACUUUAUAAGCAUCUUGCAUCUAUUAAUUCACCUAACGCUUCUGUGAGGUAGGUACUAUUAUUUCCAAUUUACUGAGGAGGAUGCUGAGGUUCAGAGACGUGAAGUGUCCCACCUAAGGUUACCCAGCUAAUGACAGCCACAGCCUGGCCAGCUAGCCUCCUCCACACCCUUAAGCUCUCUCUGUUCCUGCUGCCUGAGCCACUGUGACAGGCACACUGCCGGGUCCCAGAGGCUUUAGCAGGAGCCAGCUAAGACCAGCCUGGUAGAGAAUGACCCAAGCCAACAGGCCCCUGGAUUGGGGAAGGGCCCCACGAGGGGUUGGCUGGGGAGCUCUGAGGUACCCCUUCUGUGUCUGCAGUUUAGAAAGGCCAUGGUCCCAACACCCACUGAUCAAAACUUCUGAGUCCGUAAGUCUCUGAUUACAAUUCCUUUUAAGGAACAGCCUAUAACCCUAACCCAACCUUUGGGGAGUCCAUCCUUCUACGAUUCAACAUCCAGGUGUGACAAGGGAGGGCCUAAAAUCUACCCAUCACCCAGCUAGGAGGCACAGCAGCCCCACCCGAAUCCGACUCAAAGGCCCAGGGUGUCUCUCCUGCCCAGGACCCUUAGGUCUCGCUGGAGGGGAGUCUGGAGACCAGGGCAGGAGUGCGGGGCAAGAGCUCAGUUAGACUGAUAAUAGGGCUCGGGCAGUUUCCACCACAGCUGCGGCUACAACCCACGUGUACUGACCCCUCACCAGGCCGGAGCUGGGGCUCAGGACUGGGCAAAUCUAGGAGGGACAGAGGUAUAAGCCAAACCUUGCCUUCAAGGACUUUCAGACCAGCUACAGAACCAGACAAGCCCAGGCCCAGUGUGGUCUGGGCUGGAGGCUUGGCUGGAACAGCGGGGGCACCACAUAGUCCAGAGACUUCCCGAGGGACAGGAAGGAUGGCACCUGAGGUUCCCUUGCCAUGCCACCCAUAGUCACUGGCCAGCAGCCUUCCUGUUGGGAAAAGGGAGAUGGGGGAGGGAACCUUGCCUGACAUCUCAUCCUGGCCUGAGCUCUGGCCAUAGCAGGCAGCUGUUGGGUUCCCUUCUCAGCUCCUCCCACCCCCAAUGAGGCCUGCCUCAUUAGGGAGGAGAGAAGCAGCCAGUGAGUGUGCCAGGCCCUGGGCUAGGCGCUGGGAGUAUGGAGAUGUGUGGGGCCAAGGUCCUGCCUCUGAGAGGCGCCCAGUCUGUACCGGCACACAGUAGUGGCUCAAAUAGUCUCAAACUAAACUGAAACUAACAAAGCAAAGUGCAGAGGGUGUGGCAGGACUCUGGGGCACACCCUCCCCUCUUCCCCACGCCUGCGGCUCCUGAUGCCACAGGGGUGCAGGGUAAGGAGAGCCUACUGUUUCCUAAAGGCGCUCACAUCUUGUAAAACCAGCAGUUAUGCCUAACUCUGUUGAGUGGAGGGCCAAAGAGGAGAACUACUGAGUCUGGGGGCAGUCAGAGCAGCACCUACAUCAUUGCCCUACAAGAAGGAAGGGGGACUGAGGCUGUUUGCCAGGAGGAAUGAGAGGAGACGGGCUUCACAGAUGGAGCAAACUGCCAGGACAUGUGGAGAACAGGGUGUCGCAAACCGCUCUGGGAGGGUUCCUGGUGGCUGAGGGGUGGCACACACCUCCCUUAAAGGGAGCUGGCAGGGGUGUCUUGUCCACUCUGCAGAAUGGGCAGGCCCAGGACAGCUGGCCCAUCAGACCAUUAGAAACAGCGAGUCCGGAGUUCCAGGGGCUUGUCCACGGCCACACAGCAGCCCGUGGCCCCAGGAAGCCAAAGCUCCCAGCCAGUCAUCCAGUGGUGGGGGGGUUUAGUUCCAGGGGGCCAGAGGUCCUCUGCGGAAGAGAGUGCAAGGCAGUAUCCGCGGCAGGCCCAGAGGGGCCAGGACAGGUCAGAAAGGCCUACCCCUCUUUCGCUUGGCACCCUUUCCUCUCUGCGAGGGAUGCAAAGGUUAUUUAUACCUCGGGCCUGCAGGCUGCGGGUGGGGCAGGCACCCUGCCUGGGGCGGGUUGCAGGCGCA